rnacentral:rRNA from 1 species
GACAGAGGUGCCGAGCGUUAGGCGGAAUCACUGGGCUUAAAGCGUGUGUAGGCGGCUUUCUAAGUGCUUUGUGAAAUCCCACGGCUUAACCGUGGAACUGCUGGGCAUACUGGUUGUCUUGGGCCAUCUAGGGGCUACUGGAACAAACGGUGGAGCGGUGAAAUGCGUAGAUAUCGUUUGGAACGCCAAUGGUGAAAACAAGUAGCUGGGGAUGUGCCGACGCUGAGACACGAAAGCCAGGGGAGCGAACGGG